GUGCUUGCCUCAGUAGCACAUGAAUUAAAAUUGGAACCAUAGAGAGAUCAGCAAGGUGACAUACAAAUUUGUGAAGAUUCCAUAUUUUAA
ensembl:snRNA U6 U6 spliceosomal RNA